AAGGCCACCACCACCGCCAAGGCUAGGGCCUUGAAGCCGGGGUCUAGUGGGGCCAAGGAGGUCCGAGGUAAGGUUGAACACCUUUUCAAGGACAGCACUCCAAAGGCUCCUGAAGAGGGAGCUUCCCAAAGGCAGGAGAGGCCAAAAGAGCCUCGAGGGAAAGAGAAGGUCCCAGAGGAGGCGAAGAGAAGGAAGUUGGUGCACGUUACUAGCUCGUCCGAAAAAUUUGGGACAUCAGUGUCCCAUGAGGCCAAAUCUACAGGCGAGCCGAAGCUGCUCGCAUCUGCCUCCAAAGCCAUCAAGAUAGAAAUGGUCAGGAGGCUGAGGCUGAGGAGGCUAGGGAAGAGGCCGCGAGAAGGGUUGCUGAGGCUGUCGAGGAGGAGGCAGCUAAACAAAAGCCUGUUCGGGAAAAGGGGAAGUCCCCAAGCUUCCUAGCUGGAAGGGAGGAGACCUUGGCCCCAACCUUGGUGGAAGCUCUUCCUGGGGAGGUUCGAAGAGCCACUGAGAACUUUUACCGGUUCUGGACUGAC
rnacentral:lncRNA from 1 species